AUUGAACGCUGGCGGAAUGCCUAACACAUGCAAGUCGAGCGGGGUGUAGCAAUACACCUAGCGGCGGACGGGUGAGGAACACACAGGAAUCUACCUUUUAGUGGGGGAUAGCCCGGGGAAACCCGGAUUAAUACCGCAUGAUCUCGCAAGAGCAAAGCGGGGGACCGUAAGGCCUCGCGCUGAAAGAUGAGCCUAUGUCGGAUUAGCUAGUUGGCGGGGUAAAAGCCCACCAAGGCGACGAUCCGUAGCUGGUCUGAGAGGACGAUCAGCCACACCGGAACUGAGACACGGUCCGGACUCCUACGGGAGGCAGCAGUGGGGAAUAUUGGACAAUGGGCGCAAGCCUGAUCCAGCAAUUCCGCGUGUGUGAAGAAGGCC
rnacentral:rRNA from 1 species